GAAUCCAUAGGUUAAUGAGGCGAACCGGGGGAACUGAAACAUCUAAGUACCCCGAGGAAAAGAAAUCAACCGAGAUUCCCCCAGUAGCGGCGAGCGAACGGGGAGGAGCCCAGAGCCUGAAUCAGUGUGUGUGUUAGUGGAAGCGUCUGGAAAGGCGUGCGAUACAGGGUGACAGCCCCGUACACAAAAAUGCACAUAUUGUGAGCUCGAUGAGUAGGGCGGGACACGUGGUAUCCUGUCUGAAUAUGGGGGGACCAUCCUCCAAGGCUAAAUACUCCUGACUGACCGAUAGUGAACCAGUACCGUGAGGGAAAGGCGAAAAGAACCCCGGCGAGGGGAGUGAAAAAGAACCUGAAACCGUGUAC
rnacentral:rRNA from 1 species